rnacentral:lncRNA from 1 species
GGUUGAUUUAUGCUAAUGAAGGAGUCGGGGUUGUAGAUAUUUACGUUGGACGGCGGGAGCCGCCCUUCAUUCACCACAUGGUUAAAACCACGAUAUGCCUGGAGCAGUGACAGUAAAGGGCACCCAUUGGGAUGUACACUUGGAAUCCAGCGCCCUGUUCAAGUGAUUGACCCAGAAACAUUCCGUCGUUGGUUUUGGAUAUGUGCAUGGAUGCUUCACUGGCCUAAGUCACUGUAGUGUCAAAGUGCUUACAGUGCAGGUAGUCAUCUAAUAUCUACUGCAGUGAAGGCACUUUAAGCACUAUAGUGGCACGAUGACUGGCUUCAUUGCACACUGAUUGUGUGAACCUUAACUGGUGCUUAUGCUAAGGUGCAUCUAGUGCAGAUAGUGAAGUAGACCAGCACCUACUGCCCUACGUGCUCCUUCUGGCAUAAGGGCCGGGACUCGUCUGGUCUAUGAAAAGUGUAUGAUUUAUCCUUGCAGACCUCUGCUAGUUUUGCAUAGUUGCACUACAAGAGAAAUGGAGUUGUGCAAAUCUAUGCAAAACUGACGGUGGCCUGUGUGUCCAUCUGUCCGGGUGACUUUUUCAAAUGUAUAAUCAGUUGAGCAGCAUGGAGGGCUCUUGGGCAUCCUACACCCUUUUCCACCCACAGCAACGUUAAUGUGUGCAAACGGGUUUCAGCAG